rnacentral:rRNA from 1 species
CGAACGCUGGCGGCGUGCUUAACACAUGCAAGUCGAACGGAAAGGCCCUGCUUUUGUGGGGUGCUCGAGUGGCGAACGGGUGAGUAACACGUGAGCAACCUGCCCUUGACUUUGGGAUAACUUCAGGAAACUGGGGCUAAUACCGGAUAGGAGCUCCUGCUGCAUGGUGGGGGUUGGAAAGUUUCGGCGGUUGGGGAUGGACUCGCGGCUUAUCAGCUUGUUGGUGGGGUAGUGGCUUACCAAGGCUUUGACGGGUAGCCGGCCUGAGAGGGUGACCGGCCACAUUGGGACUGAGAUACGGCCCAGACUCCUACGGGAGGCAGCAGUGGGGGAUAUUGCACAAUGGGCGGAAGCCUGAUGCAGCAACGCCGCGUGCGGGAUGACGGCCUUCGGGUUGUAAACCGCUUUCGCCUGUGACGAAGCGUGAGUGACGGUAAUGGGUAAAGAAGCACCGGCUAACUACGUGCCAGCAGCCGCGGUGAUACGUAGGGUGCGAGCGUUGUCCGGAUUUAUUGGGCGUAAAGGGCUCGUAGGUGGUUGAUCGCGUCGGAAGUGUAAUCUUGGGGCUUAACCCUGAGCGUGCUUUCGAUACGGGUUGACUUGAGGAAGGUAGGGGAGAAUGGAAUUCCUGGUGGAGCGGUGGAAUGCGCACAUAUCAAGAGGAACACCACUGGCGAAGGCGGUUCUCUUGGGCCUUUCCUGACGCUGAGGAGCGAAAGCGUGGGGAGCGAACAGGCUUAGAUACCCUGGUAGUCCACGCUGUAAACGGUGGGUACUAGGUGUGGGGUCCAUUCCACGGGUUCCGUGCCGUAGCUAACGCUUUAAGUACCCCGCCUGGGGAGUACGGCCGCAAGGCUAAAACUCAAAGGAAUUGACGGGGCCCCGCACAAGCGGCGGAGCAUGCGGAUUAAUUCGAUGCAACGCGUAGAACCUUACCUGGGUUUGACAUGGAUCGGGAGUGCUCAGAGAUGGGUGUGCCUCUUUUGGGGUCGGUUCACAGGUGGUGCAUGGCUGUCGUCAGCUUGUGUCGUGAGAUGUUGGGUUAAGUCCCGCAACGAGCGCAACCCUUGUUCACUGUUGCCAGCACGUUAUGGUGGGGACUCAGUGGAGACCGCCGGGGUCAACUCGGAGGAAGGUGGGGAUGACGUCAAGUCAUCAUGCCCCUUAUGUCCAGGGCUUCACGCAUGCUACAAUGGCUGGUACAGAGAGUGGCGAGCCUGUGAGGGUGAGCGAAUCUCGGAAAGCCGGUCUCAGUUCGGAUUGGGGUCUGCAACUCGACCUCAUGAAGUCGGAGUCGCUAGUAAUCGCAGAUCAGCAACGCUGCGGUGAAUACGUUCCCGGGGCUUGUACACACCGCCCGUCAAGUCAUGAAAGUUGGUAACACCCGAAGCCGGUGGCCUAACCGUUGUGGGGGAGCCGUCGAAGGUGGGACUGGUGAUUAGGACU